UACGUAGGGUCCAAGCGUUGUCCGGAUUCAUUGGGCGUAAAGGGCGCGUAGGCGGCGGGGUAAGUCGGGUGUGAAAUCUCAGAGCUCAACUCUGAAACUGCACUCGAUACUGCUCUGCUUGAGGACUGGAGAGGAGACUGGAAUUCACGGUGUAGCAGUGAAAUGCGUAGAGAUCAUGAGGAAGACCAGUGGCGAAGGCGGGUCUCUGGACAGUUCCUGACACUGAGACACGAAGGCCAGGGGAGCAAACGGG
rnacentral:rRNA from 1 species